rnacentral:rRNA from 1 species
AACGAACGCUGGCGGCAUGCCUAACACAUGCAAGUCGAACGAGACCUUCGGGUCUAGUGGCGCACGGGUGCGUCACCCGUGGGAACCUGCCCUUAGGUUCGGAAUACCUCUCCGAAAGGGGUGCUAAUACCGGAUCAUGUCUUCGGACCAAAGAUUUAUCGCCUUUGGAUGGUCCCGCGUUGGAUUAGCUAGUUGGUAGGGUAAAAGCCUACCAAGGCGACGAUCCAUAGCUGGUCUGAGAGGAUGAUCAGCCACUCUGGGAGUGAGACACGGCCCGGACUCCUACGGGAGGCAGCAGUGGGGAAUGGUGGACAAUGGGCGGAAGCAUGAUCCAGCAAUGCCGCGUGAGUGAUGAAGGCCGUAGAGUUGUAAAGCUCUUUUAACCGGGAUGAUAAUGACAGUACCGGGAGAAUAAGCUCCGGCUAACUCCGUG